rnacentral:rRNA from 1 species
AGAGUUUGAUCAUGGCUCAGGACGAACGCUGACGGUGUGCUUUAGACAUGCAAGUCGAACGAGAAAGCCCUUCGGGGUGAGUACAGUGGCGAACGGGUGAGUAACACGUGGGUAACCUGCCCCUCGCAGGGGGACAACCGGGGGAAACCCCGGCUAAUACCCCGUACGCUUGCUGGGUCGCAUGGCCCGGCAAGGAAAGGUAGCUUCGGCCAUCCGGCGAGGGAUGGGCCCGCGGUCCAUUAGCUAGUUGGUGGGGUAACGGCUCACCAAGGCGACGAUGGAUAGCUGGUCUGAGAGGAUGAUCAGCCACACUGGGACUGAGACACGGCCCAGACUCCUACGGGAGGCAGCAGUCGGGAAUCUUGCGCAAUGGGCGAAAGCCUGACGCAGCAACACCGUGUGGGCGACGAAGGCCUUCGGGUCGUAAAGCCCUGUUGUUGGGGACGAAGGGCGAAGGGUUAAUAGCCCCUAGCUUGACGGUACCCUUCGAGGAAGCCCCGGCUAACUACGUGCCAGCAGCCGCGGUAAUACGUGGGGGGCGAGCGUUGUCCGGAAUUAUUGGGCGUAAAGAGCGUGUAGGCGGCUUGGUAAGUCUGCCGUGAAACCCCGGGGCUCAACCCCGGGCGUGCGGUGGAUACUGCCAGGCUAGAGGAUGGUAGAGGCGAGUGGAAUUCCCGGUGUAGCGGUGAAAUGCGCAGAUAUCGGGAGGAACACCAGUAGCGAAGGCGGCUCGCUGGGCCAUUCCUGACGCUGAGACGCGAAAGCUAGGGGAGCGAACAGGAUUAGAUACCCCCGUAGUCC